UACGUAGGGGGCAAGCGUUGUCCGGAUUUAUUGGGCGUAAAGAGCGUGUAGGCGGCCACGUAGGUCUGCUGUGAAAACUCGAGGCUUAACCUCGAGCUGUCGGCGGAAACCAUGUGGCUAGAGUCCGGAAGAGGAGAAUGGAAUUCCCGGUGUAGCGGUGAAAUGCGCAGAUAUCAGGAAGAACACCAAUGGCGAAGGCAGCUCUCUGGGACGGUACUGACGCUGAGACGCGAAAGCGUGGGGAGCGAACAGG
rnacentral:rRNA from 1 species